CCUACGGGGGGCUGCAGUGAGGAAUAUUGGUCAAUGGGCGAGAGCCUGAACCAGCCAAGUCGCGUGAGGGAGUACUGCCCUAUGGGUUGUAAACCUCUUUUGUCGGGGAGCAAAAGCCGGACGUGUCCGGCUGUGAGAGUACCCGAAGAAAAAGCAUCGGCUAACUCCGUGCCCGCAGCCGCGGUAAUACGGAGGAUGCGAGCGGUAUCCGGAUUUAGUGGGGUUAAAGGGUGCGCAGGCGGAUUGUAAAGUCAGCGGUCAAAUCGUGGGGCUCAACCCCAUCCAGCCGUUGAAACUGGGGAUCUAGAGUGUGCGAGAGGUAUGCGGAAUGCGUGGUGUAGCGGUGAAAUGCAGAGAUAUCACGCAGAACCCCGAUUGCGAAGGCAGCAUACCGGUGCACAACUGACGCUCAGGCACGAAAGCGUGGGUAUCGAACAGGAUUAGAUACCCGAGUAGUC
rnacentral:rRNA from 1 species